rnacentral:rRNA from 1 species
GUGAGGAAUUUUCCGCAAUGGGCGAAAGCCUGACGGAGCAAUGCCGCGUGAAGGAUGAAGGCCUAUGGGUUGUAAACUUCUUUUCUCAGAAAAGAAUUAUGACGGUAUCUGAGGAAUAAGCAUCGGCUAACUCUGUGCCAGCAGCCGCGGUAAGACAGAGGAUGCAAGCGUUAUCCGGAAUGAUUGGGCGUAAAGCGUCUGUAGGUUGUUUAAAAAGUAUUCUGUCAAAGAUUAGGGCUUAACCCUAGAUAGGCAGAAUAAACUUUUAAGCUAGAGUUUGGUAGAGGCAGAGGGAAUUCCCGGUGGAGCGGUGAAAUGCGUAGAUAUCGGGAGGAACACCAAAGGCGAAGGCACUCUGCUGGGCCAAUACUAACACUGAGAGACGAAAGCGAGGGGAGCAAAUGAGAUUAGAAACCCGAGUAGUCC